CCUACGGGCGGCUGCAGUGAGGAAUCUUCCACAAUGGACGAAAGUCUGAUGGAGCGACACCGCGUGAAGGAUGAAGGCCUAACGGUUGUAAACUUCUUUUCUGAAGGAGCAUAAUGAGAGUACUUCAGGAAUAAGGGACGGCUAAAUACGUGCCAGCAGCCGCGGUAAUACGUAUGUCUCGAGCGUUACCCGGAAUCACUGGGUGUAAAGGGUUCGUAGGCGGUUUAAUAAGUUGGAUAUGAAAGACCGGAGCUCAACUUCGUGUUUGUCUUCAAAACUGUUAAGCUAGAAUCAGGGAGAGGUAAGUAGAAUUCUAAGUGUAGGGGUGCAAUCCGUAGAUACUUAGAGGAAUACCAAAAGCGAAGGCAACUUACUGGAACUGCAUUGACGCUGAGGAACGAAAGCGUGGGUAGCGAAAAGGAUUAGAUACCCUUGUAGUC
rnacentral:rRNA from 1 species